rnacentral:rRNA from 1 species
UACGGGAGGCAGCAGUGGGGAAUAUUGCACAAUGGGCGCAAGCCUGAUGCAGCCAUGCCGCGUGUAUGAAGAAGGCCUUCGGGUUGUAAAGUACUUUCAGUCGUGAGGAAGGUGUUAAGGUUAAUAACCUUAGCAAUUGACGUUAGCGACAGAAGAAGCACCGGCUAACUCCGUGCCAGCAGCCGCGGUAAUACGGAGGGUGCGAGCGUUAAUCGGAAUUACUGGGCGUAAAGGGCACGCAGGCGGUUAAUUAAGUUGGAUGUGAAAUCCCCGGGCUUAACCUGGGAAUGGCAUUCAAGACUGGUUAGCUAGAGUCUUGUAGAGGGGGUUAGAAUUCCAUGUGUAGCGGUGAAAUGCGUAGAGAUGUGGAGGAAUACCGGUGGCGAAGGCGGCCCCUGGACAAAGACUGACGCUCAUGUGCGAAAGCGUGGGGAGCAAACG